rnacentral:rRNA from 1 species
UACGAAGGGGGCUAGCGUUGCUCGGAAUCACUGGGCGUAAAGCGCACGUAGGCGGCUUUUUAAGUCAGGGGUGAAAUCCUGGAGCUCAACUCCAGAACUGCCUUUGAUACUGAAGAUCUUGAGUUCGGGAGAGGUGAGUGGAACUGCGAGUGUAGAGGUGAAAUUCGUAGAUAUUCGCAAGAACACCAGUGGCGAAGGCGGCUCACUGGCCCGAUACUGACGCUGAUGCACGAAAGCGUGGGGAGCAAACAGG